GACACACAUUUGUGGAGGAGCGGCGUGGAGACCUCGGUGGAGUUUUGCGUUCUAAACGCGUCCUGGAACUCAUGGAAGCCCUCUGCCCCAGGUGUGAGCAGUUAUGAGGGCGAAGGUCGUUGCCGAGGCCAAGGCCUGUGAAUUGAGAUUGUCGUCUCUGGGUUCUGAAAGGCUGUCCAGGCACUGACUACAUUUUCCAAUGUCCACCAUAGCCAAGGCAGCUUCCUGUCCGCGCACCAACGCUUUCAGGACCGUAGGAAGCAUUGCGCACGAGUGCCCGCGGAACAUUCUUGUAGCGACCGCAGGGUCAGCUCUGCUUUCUCAGGACUCUACUUCACCAGGAGAGGAGUCUAGAAGACUGAUUGAUUCUUGGAAUUUUAAGUCAUCAUGGCCCAUGUGAUGAUGUUCAGGGAUGUGGCCGUAGACUUCUCUCAGGAGGAGUGGGAGUGUCUGGACUUGGAACAGAGACAUUUGUACAGAGAUGUGAUGUUGGAGAACUACAGUAACAUGAUCUCACUGGGACUUUGCAUUUAUCAGCCGGAUGUGUUCUCUUUACUGGAGGAGGGGAAAGAGCCCUGGAUGGUUUCUCAGGAUGAGACAGGAGGACCUUGCCCAG